rnacentral:tRNA from 1 species
GGCACUUUGCCGGAGUGGUUAACGGGAUGGCCUGCUAAGCCAUUGGUCUUUGACCGCCAGAGUUCGACUCUCUGAGGUGUCG